rnacentral:rRNA from 1 species
AGCAGCCGCGGUAAUUCCAGCUCCAAUAGCGUAUAUUAAAGUUGUUGCAGUUAAAAAGCUCGUAGUUGAAUUUCGGGGUCAAUAAGUUGGUCGUGCCAAUGGUAUGCACUGGCUUUAUUGAUUCCUACCUCUUGACGAACUGUGAUGCCAUUAAUUUGGUGUCGCAAGGAAUCAGGACUGUUACCUUGAAAAAAUUAGAGUGUUUAAAGCAGGCUUACGCUUGAAUACAUUAGCAUGGAGUAAUGAAAUAGGACGUUUGAACCUAUUUUGUUGGUUUUUAGGAUCGACGUAAUGAUUAAUAGGGAUAGUUGGGGGCAUUAGUAUUCAAUUGUCAGAGGUGAAAUUCUUGGAUUUAUUGAAGACUAACUACUGCGAAAGCAUUUGCCAAGGAUGUUUUCAUUAAUCAAGAACGAAAGUUAGGGGAUCGAAGACGAUCAGAUACCGUCGUAGUCUUAACCAUAAACUAUGCCGACUAGGGAUCGGAUGAUGUUAAUUUUUUAAUGACUCAUUCGGCGCCUUA